UGUAUUUCUUUUUUGAUCUGACUGAUCAUAGGCCUCACUGAUCUGAGCUUAUGCACCUCAGUUAUUGAGUGAACUUUGCCAACAUUAUCCACAAAUUAUGCU